AUGUUUUUAAGCGCCGUUUUCUAACUGAAUCUUUUACAUCCUAUAUACGAAGAGACCUUUUAUUCAUUAAUUGGCUAUUGAUUCGUACAGCGAUCGUUCAGGGAAAUACCGACCUGCUAGGAAAGACAAGAAGAACAACAGCAUAGUUUUAAACAUUUGACUGAGCAGAAUACAAGCCUCAACCCCUCACAUCUGGCAAAGAAAAAGACGUGUGAAAGUGAAGAAACUAUCAAAACACGCCCUGUGUAAGUGAUUCUGCAGUUCUACAAGAAUCUUCCUCACACUGUUCAUUGUUCUAGGAUUGCACCUCACUCUAGGCAGCAGGCAUCGAGUCCCAGUAAGAUUGUCUAAAUCUGGGAGAGCUUAAACAGUAAAAGUCUACCUGUUGUGAAGUUUCAGUGGGAACAGAAAUUAAACAGCACACUCCAGGUGGUCUUGCUUUAAGUAGAACUCCACUGACAGGAGAAUUUAUUACUGGAGGUCUGGGAAAACUAAAUACUACAGAUUCGGCUGGGAAGAAGAAUGUACCCAGAAACAAUUCCUAACUGCUAAAACAAGCCUGUAAAAAAAAGUUUUUUCACUGUUUGCUUUCACUUUUGAAAUCCUGCAGCCAUUUUCCUGCCUGAAUCACUGCUUUGUAGCUUAUGUAAAGCUCGGAAAAAUCAGAAAGAGCCCAAUAGCACCACCAUUGCAGUCAAGCAAGUAAACUAUGACCACGCUAAGGCAGUAGCCAUUAAAGGUACUGCAACUCAGAGCUAAAUUAACUCUAAAAUAGCUGGGUGAGACUUGCAUAGCUGUCAAAAGCUCUAGAUAACAUUAAAAAUCCUACAAAAUGCUAAAAGAGAACCAUAAAAUUUCCAACACGCAAUUGAAAGACAACAGAACUCCUAUCUGAAUUUACUUUGUUCUGCCAAUGCACCGAGCUGUGUUUUCUGGAUUUCAAUAUUUCCGAACCAGAUAAGCCAUUAAAAUUGCUAUCGGCAAUGAAGGCCUCCACAGAUUGAACGCGUCAGGCCUAUCCAAUGGCCAUCUUAAAAAUCCAGAAAAAAUAUAGCCAACACUCGAAGUUCAGUUACAAGUGAAGCUAAACUUCAGAAUAUAGUAUAUAGAAUUAGUGUCCUUUAGGCAACAACUGACAGAGACCUUGAUCAGUUCAUAAGUAGUUGCAGAGACAGGGGGCAUGAUUGUGACUUUACAGCAGCAGAACUAGCCGACAGAAUAAUCGAGUUUGUAAUAGCAUCUACCCCAAUGGAAACGCUAAUACAAAGCAGAUGCAAGUACAAAGUCAUACUAAUGGGUAGACAGAGUCUACAGGCUAUGUGUAAUUCGUCCAUCAUCAGCAGAAUAGCCAAUGCAGGCAAGUCUAAUAAGCAAUGCGGGAGGUGCGGACUCAUUUGUGCAUCCAGAAAUUGCCUAGCUUUUAAUGAAGUAUGUAAGCCAUGUGGUUCAACGUCACAAGAAGCCACAACCAGAGGCCAGACAGUAAGCAUUCUAAACAACCAAAAAUGUGUACUGAACAGCUUCAAGACAAGAUUCACAAAAUGUCUAGCCAAGCUACACAGUCAGAUGAUGCGAAUGACCAGAUCAUUGACACAAAAAGUGAGCAGACAUGCAACGCAGUGAUUAACAAAGACUGUAUUGGCACCAAUAGUAAUACCUACGGGAGAUUUUGCCAUCGUCCACAGAUUAUAUGCCCACAAUUGCAGGGUCAGCAUAAUCUAUAUGCAAAGCUGGAUACUGAUGCAGAUGCAAACAUCCUUUCACUUCGCACACUGAAAUGUAUGUAUCCAUAAAAGUGGCAAAGUGAUGAUUCAACCAACCAACGCCAAACUCACCACGUGCCAUUGGAAACCCCGCGCAUACACUGGGAAAAGAUCACCUAAAUUUGCAACGUAGACCAGCAGCCGACACGCUUGCAGAACAGUUCGAACCAAAAACAUAUACCCAUUCUGAAUUUGCACACUUCAUCCCACUGCGGAACCAAUGCGGAAUUACUGUUGGCAGACAAGUGCAGGCAAACCUCCUCAGUCAUCACUCAUCCAUACUCCCAGGUCUACGUGAUGCAUUACUCAAAAAAGGGGAAGAUGAAAGAUGCCCAUGACUAGCAUGCAGGUAACGAAUUGCCCAACCUGAGCAUCGGACAGAAAGUUCAAGUACAACACCCAAAUGAUUGCACCUGGAAUCCAACAGAAAUUGCCAACAUAUACCUAGAACCAAGGUUGUAUCACGUACGAACAACAAAUGGUAUGGCAGUGCAAUGAAAAAGAUGCCAAAUCAGAACAAUAUCAUAAACAGAGACUCCCAAGUAUUCCUGUUGCGAACAGAACAUGGUCUAAGACUCAACAAAAACAAAGUACCCCAAACAGCAUUCUGAAAAUGUACAACAGCAUCUGGCAAAACUCUUCAUAACUAAAGUUGGACAGAUAAGCAAACCACUGAUACAUUUCAGAGACUUGUAAAUUUAUUGUUCUGUGUUAAAGUACAUGCAGACACAAUGUUAUUUUCUUUUGCUUUCAUGUAAAUAGUUUGAUUCUUUAAAGAUGAACCUUUAGUUUAGAAGGGGGAUGUUGUGAUAUGCUGUGCAUACACCUUUAAGGUAGCAUAUCUUAAAUUAUUGUCGAUCAUUACUACUUUGACACGAUAAAAUAUAUUAGUCCCAUGACUUGAAGUCAUUCUACAAGCAGCAGUACUAGACAUUAGAUGUAGAAUACUUAGUCUUCUAGUUAAUUCUAUCUGUAUAUAGUAUUAACUUCAAAAAGACCCACAUUAUUUUUUCACCAAUGCUUGUGUAUAAUUGAUACAUUUACACCGAGUGCAAGACAGAUGUAACAAUUACCAUCAAAUCAGUGGAUCAACCCUGGUUCAUUGAGUUUAGAAAAGAUACCAGGAGCAGUUUCAGACAUAUCUAAAAAUGAGUCAACCUGGUGUAGCUACAACUUAGGACUACAUGCUAAAUAUUAGAAACAGCAUGCUAUAGACAGAGCCAGGUGAUCCCACAACCCCAAAACUAAUUUGAUCAAAGCUGUGCAGACCUGCCUUCUGAAGUGGUUAAUUAUGAUAGAUAAUUAACAACCAGGAGGAGGAGGAGGCUCCAUGAACAUCCCCAUCCUCAAUGAUGGCAGAGCCCAGCAAAAGUGCAAAUGUCAAAACUGAAGCAUUUGCAACCGUCUUCAGCUAGAAGUGCCAACUGGAUGAUCCAUGUUGGCCUCCCAAAGUCCCAACCAUCGCAGAAGCCAGCCUUCAGCCAAUUUGGUUCAUUUCCAAGUGGUAGCAGGAAACCGCUACACGCAGUGGACACAGCAAAGGCCAUAAGGCUAACAACAUUUUGGCUGUAGUGCUUAAAACUUGUGCUCCAAAACUAGCUGUGCCUUUAGCCAAAUUUUUCAAAUUGUUACAAAUAUGAUGUUUAUAAGAUACUGUAUUAUGUUUUGGGACAGUAUUUUUAAGCUUAGUGUAAAAUGAAGGGGGUCAUGUGACCUGUUCUGAAGUCUGCCUAACAGUGAGCCUAGGUGGUUUGAUUGCCAGAAAUCAAAAGAAGGUUUAGAUUGUUUUACUGAGAAGAAGGUGCAAGGUAUUUAUCCUUCGAGACAAUGGCAGCAGCCAGUGACAAUUAGCAAUAUUACAUAGUGACUUAUAGGUCUUCACACAAUGGGUAGAUUUGGGUGGAGUCUGCAAUCUGAGCACAAUUGUGCCCAAACUUAUUCCUGUUUUAAGGAGUUUCUGCUCAAACUCAUUUGCAAAUCAAUGAAUGCAAAUUCGGCCAUGAAUCAUCGCAGAUGCAGUAUUAGGUUUUGGGACAGCAUUUUUAAAUUUAGCGUAAAAUGAAGGGGAUCAUGUGACUUGUUGUGAAGUCUGCCUAACAGUGAACCUGGGUGAUUUGAUUGUUAGAGAUCAAAAUAAGGUUUAAAUUGUUUUAUUGGGAAGAAAAUGCAAGGUAUUUAUCCUUGGAGACAACCUUUCAUCUGAAGCAGGAGCUUUGAAGAUUUUGUAAGGAAGAUUCUCUCGAAACAAUGACACAUUCCCAGAAACACUCUUGUAACUAAACUAAGCCACCGUGCCUCUCUAGCUCUUUCCUCCUUUGAUUGAGUGUUUGGUCACCUAUCAUAAUAUCUCAUUAUGUGACAUAGUGGCAAAUUUUGUUUUAUUACAAGUAUGUGGAAUACCUUUGUAUGUUUUACUACAUUAAAGAUGCUUUAUUAGUAGAAGUUC